GUCUAUGGCCAUGCCACCCUGAACGAGCCCAGUCCCAUCUGAUCUCAGAAGCUAAGCAGGGUCGGGCCUGGUUAGUACUUGAAUGGGAGACCACCUAGGAAGACCAGGUGCUAUAGGCG
rnacentral:rRNA from 1 species